GACGAACGCUGGCGGCGUGCUUAACACAUGCAAGUCGAACGGAAAGGCCCCUUUGGGGGUACUCGAGUGGCGAACGGGUGAGUAACACGUGAGUAACCUGCCCUUCACUUCGGGAUAACUUCAGGUAACUGGGGCUAAUACCGGAUAGGAAUCCUUGCUGCCUGGUGGGGGUUGGAAAGCUUCGGCGGUUUUGGAUGGACUCGCGGCUUCUUAGCUUGUUGGUGGGGUAGUGGCUUACCAAGGCUUUGACGGGUAGCCGGCCUGAGAGGGCGACCGGCCACAUUGGGACUGAGAGACGGCCCAGACUGCUACGGGAGGCAGCAGUGGGGAAGAUUGCACAAGGGGCGGGAGCCUGAUGCAGCAACGCCGCGUGCGGGAUGACGGCCUUCGGGUUGUAAGCCGCUUUCAGCAGGGGCGAAGCUUGUGGUGACGGUACCUGCAGAAGAAGCACCGGCUAACUACGUG
rnacentral:rRNA from 1 species